AGUGAACGCUGGCGGUAGGCCUAACACAUGCAAGUCGAACGGCAGCACAGUAAGAGCUUGCUCUUACGGGUGGCGAGUGGCGGACGGGUGAGGAAUACAUCGGAAUCUACUUUUUCGUGGGGGAUAACGUAGGGAAACUUACGCUAAUACCGCAUACGACCUACGGGUGAAAGCAGGGGAUCUUCGGACCUUGCGCGAUUGAAUGAGCCGAUGUCGGAUUAGCUAGUUGGCGGGGUAAAGGCCCACCCAGGCGACGAUCCGUAGCUGGUCUGAGAGGAUGAUCAGCCGCACUGGAACUGAGACACGGUCCAGACUCCUACGAGAGGCAGCAGUGGGGAAUAUUGGACAAUGGGCGCAAGCCUGAUCCAGCCAUACCGCGUGGGUGAAGAAGGCCUUCGGGUUGUAAAGCCCUUUUGUUGGGAAAGAAAAGCAGCAGGUUAAUACCCCGCUGUUCUGACGGUACCCAAAGAAUAAGCACCGGCUAACUUCGUG
rnacentral:rRNA from 1 species